rnacentral:pre_miRNA from 1 species
UAUAGCCACUACUUCAAGACCAUGGAAGACCUGCGGGACAAGACUCUUGGAGUCAUCAUUGAGAACUCCAGGAUGUCUUGCAGAUUGACAACGCCCGCCCGCC